rnacentral:rRNA from 1 species
AACGAACGCUGGCGGCGUGGAUAAGACAUGCAAGUCAAACGAGAGAAUUGCUAGCUUGCUAAUAAUUCUCUAGUGGCGCACGGGUGAGUAACACGUGAGUAACCUGCCCCCGAGAGCGGGAUAGCCCUGGGAAACUGGGAUUAAUACCGCAUAGUAUCGAAAGAUUAAAGCAGCAAUGCGCUUGGGGAUGGGCUCGCGGCCUAUUAGUUAGUUGGUGAGGUAACGGCUCACCAAGGCGAUGACGGGUAGCCGGUCUGAGAGGAUGUCCGGCCACACUGGAACUGAGACACGGUCCAGACACCUACGGGUGGCAGCAGUCGAGAAUCAUUCACAAUGGGGGAAACCCUGAUGGUGCGACGCCGCGUGGGGGAAUGAAGGUCUUCGGAUUGUAAACCCCUGUCAUGUGGGAGCAAAUUAAAAAGAUAGUACCACAAGAGGAAGAGACGGCUAACUCUGUGCCAGCAGCCGCGGUAAUACAGAGGUCUCAAGCGUUGUUCGGAAUCACUGGGCGUAAAGCGUGCGUAGGCUGUUUCGUAAGUCGUGUGUGAAAGGCGCGGGCUCAACCCGCGGACGGCACAUGAUACUGCGAGACUAGAGUAAUGGAGGGGGAACCGGAAUUCUCGGUGUAGCAGUGAAAUGCGUAGAUAUCGAGAGGAACACUCGUGGCGAAGGCGGGUUCCUGGACAUUAACUGACGCUGAGGCACGAAGGCCAGGGGAGCGAAAGAAAUUAGAUACCCCUGUAGUCCUGGCAGUAAACGGUGCACGCUUGGUGUGCGGGGAAUCGACCCCCUGCGUGCCGGAGCUAACGCGUUAAGCGUGCCGCCUGGGGAGUACGGUCGCAAGAUUAAAACUCAAAGAAAUUGACGGGGACCCGCACAAGCGGUGGAGUAUGUGGCUUAAUUCGAUGCAACGCGAAGAACCUUACCUGGGCUUGACAUGUAAUGAACAACAUGUGAAAGCAUGCGACUCUUCGGAGGCGUUACACAGGUGCUGCAUGGCCGUCGUCAGCUCGUGUCGUGAGAUGUUUGGUUAAGUCCAGCAACGAGCGCAACCCCUGUUGCCAGUUACCAGCACGUGAAGGUGGGGACUCUGGCGAGACUGACCAGAUCAACUGGGAGGAAGGUGGGGACGACGUCAGGUCAGUAUGGCCCUUAUGCCCAGGGCUGCACACGUACUACAAUGCCCAGUACAGAGGGGGCCGAAGCCGCGAGGCGGAGGAAAUCCUGAAAACUGGGCCCAGUUCGGACUGUAGGCUGCAACCCGCCUACACGAAGCCGGAAUCGCUAGUAAUGGCGCAUCAGCUACGGCGCCGUGAAUACGUUCCCGGGUCUUGCAC